GGGAGAUUGAGUAAUUGGUGUCUGGAUGUGCGUGUGCUGCUUCCCAAAAUACCUCUUUAAAAAGACGUGAGAGGGAUGCGGAGCCAGUAGAAAUGACUGAUUUUGAAGAUUGAGAAUUAGGAAUAUUGUACAGAUGCUGUCAUUCCUACAUGAAGGAGGCAGAAGAAUGUAGCAAGCUCAGCUCUCUAAUGCCAGGAGUGGCACUUUCAGUGACCAGAGCUCCCUGGGUCCUCUGUGUAUCCCUCCCCUGUCAACUGAUUCAACAGAGGCUGGGCUGGUCCUGGCAUUAGCACAUUUUUGAAUCUGCCUUUGGCUGUGACUUCACCCAAAGACAGAAAGGGGAAGUUUCUGGUCUACAUAGCCAACAUGUGGUCUUGAUAAUAAAUCAUUGCUUGUUUGGAAGAAUUUGGUCUGAGCCUUACUUUUAUUGUAAAACACUACCUGUAGAUGGCAGAUGGGGCAUGGGACCUUUAGGCCUUAUCCAGCUCUAAACAUGGGAGGCUACCAAAGACUCUGACGUUUGGCAAAUGGCCAAAUUUGCAGAGAUCUUAUUGCAAGAGAGGCGUUCCUAAAUCUGAGUUCUAACAUCACCCCUUUUCUAGCUCCAGAGCCCCAUUGCUAGGCAGCUCCCUUCACCUGGAGACUCAUCCUCCCCUAGACUAAUGAGUGAAAGUGGGUGGGAUUAGUAUUAAGUUGUGCAAAAAGCAAUUGUGGUUUUUGCCAAAGUUGUGUCAAAGACUGGAAUUGCUUUUGCACCAACCUAAGCACUGGGCCAUAGGAAGGCACCAAAAAUACCUAGCUGGUGGCUCUGGCGUGACUUUUUGCUUAAGCUUAGUGGCUAAAUUCUCAUCCUGUCCCUAAUGACGAAAGUCCUUCCUCACAUCCCAGGUUCAAUUUGCUAGAGACUGUCUAGUCUCCUUGAACUUUGAAUCUUGGCUUUAGCUCCUGCUGAUAACCUCAUUCCUACAGGACUGGGCCACGGAACUGCUUUAUACCAGUCUCUCGGUGGCCUGGAGCCCAGACCCUGAACCUAAGUCAUAUGGCCAGCCCAGACCCUAACUUCAAGGCUUCCUUAUGCCAGUCAGGUACCUGCCUUUCUGCCUAUUGCCUGGAGCUGAGCCCCCUGCGUUCUUCAAUUUCAUAGAGUUGACUAAGGAUUAAAUGAGUUAAUGUAUGAAACUCCUUGGCAAAUACUAAGCAUUAUCUUUACUGGUUAAUUUCUUUUGACAGUUUUUGACAGCUUCCUUAACUCUUAGUGACUCAGUUUUCUCAUCUGUAAACUGGGAAUAAUAAUAGUACCUGCCUCCUGGGAUAGGUGUAAGGGUUGGAUGAGUUAAGAAUCUGUAGUGAGAUGAGUAAUGUCCCCUCCAAAAAAAGAUAUACCCACCUCCUAAUCUCCAGAACCUGUGA
rnacentral:lncRNA from 1 species